rnacentral:rRNA from 1 species
GAUGACAGGACCUAGCCCCUCCUCCGUGCUAAACCUAGACCCGCCGCUGCCGAUUCGUUCCCGUGGAUACGAUAGCUCCAUGUAGAGAAGGGUGAGAGGGGCGGAGGGAGAGAGAAGGGGCGGCCCCAGCGGCACUCGGGCACUGGCACCUGACCGCCCCUUACCCCUCGAAGUUGUCACUCCUUGCCCCUCGUGCCCACGAGACGACCACCUCCGUACAAAACCCUGCCCCUCUGGAGAUCGGCACACCUUACUUCACUCGAAACCUACGUUUGACUUAAAGUAGAGAGAGCCAAGAACAAAAGACGACUAUCGUGUAUUAUUGUAACCAUUACAACUCGGCUGUUUCUCUUCAUCGUCUGAUUAAAGAUACAGCUGUUUACUACUAAACGAGGGGCAUACACCAAAGACCAGUAUAACCCGAUACACUUUUAACCAAAAAGAGACAUAAGAGGUAUACUGUAAUAAAAUAUUAGCGACCUUAUACUUUUAUCUUACCACACGUCAAGACGGGAACACUCGUUAGAGACUACGAAUAUAUAUGAUCGUCAUUGCACAUCAUAAUCCAUACCGUUUCAUUUAAACGAAGUUGUUAGUUAAGGUCGCGUCGUUAAAAAAAUACCCUAAAGAGAACGUUAGACGUGACUUAAAACAUGCGGCUACGGUCAAACUACCAAAACGAAACUUACCAGAAGAGUUCCUUUGGCACAAGUUAAACAUACAAAACGAAACUUGCUCAGAAAGACCUUUAGACAUACACAUGAAUAUACCGACCAACCUUAACACGUUUAACACUACCAAACGAAAGAUACUCGUUGAUGAACUUACGACUUUAAAAUAUGUCAUGUAUAGUACAGUUGUUGUACAUAGAGAAAAAUAAAGUGUACACCUAUCUCUUCAACGGUAUGUAACAACAGGGGAACCGUUAUCAUACAUUAAGAGUUUAAUUGAACGAUAGAAACGAGUCAUCGUAAAUUAUACUGAUUAAACUCUAGUCGUUUCUCCUUACCCGGACUUCUUUAUGACUAUAACUCGAUCCAGACGUUCCGCUACAUAACUCGAGACGCAUCGGAAACAUACACAAAAGCUAAGAGAAAAAAAAAAUUUGUAUCGGACAUCUACAGGAUGCCAUAUACAAUCGUGUUGAUGACUUCCUAAACGUCCACUCGUUGACAAUAUACUCAAACCUACUGCCUUAUAGUCAUAAUGUAGUUUUAGAUGCCGAAAUAUAUGAAACAGUGUAUGACGGUAUAAAGUAUAUACUGCUGGUAUAGUUAGUGCACAACAAAGAAAAAGUAAGUCUCACAUGUAACGAAGGUCACAUUGUUCUUGUCUUUUAUUCUAUCAAUUUCGUAGCACCCCUGGUCCUCCGGUUCGUCAGACACCACAGAGGCAGCAACAACGUUUCUUUGUACGGGUUUGAACCUUGAAAGAGAUAGCCAAGUCCAACCUGCUCGUUCUGUUGUAUGACGUCUGACCCUUGUUCUCAUACAAGCAGUAGUAACUAUACACAAUUAUGAGAGGAACUCUAACUAAGGAAACGAAAGCGUUUUUUCGCAGUCUAUGUACCGCUCGAAGUUUUAUAGUCCAACGUUUAUGGUAGCAACGAAACCUGGAACGGUACCUACCUACCUGUGAUUUACUGGUGUUUACGGAGAUCUAAUAAUUAUUCGCACCAAGAUGCAAGUCACGAAACCCGUAGACAAAACAGAGCCCGACCAAGAUGCAUGGACUAAAACGAACCUUGUCGGUGUCCCCGCUCCUACAAUAUAACUACGUCGAACCAAACGAUUGAUCGUUACAAAACAAAGAAUCUGCCUGUUUGAACAUAGAGUCUUGGAACUACUUAACAAAGUAAACUAGUCGAAUACACCUUUGAUGAUUAAAAGUAACGGAGACAUGUGUGUGAACGUAUGGGAAAAAGGACCACGAAUAACCGUUACCGGGUAAGUAUCCGUACUGGAUCUUCUUUU